GUGGGGAGCAAAGGUUCAACCCUGACCACUUUGGACAGCAGCCAGCGAAGCACUGUGCCCUUCCCUGGGUGUUGCUAGAAACCAAAACAUGGCUGUGGAAGUUGGUCCCAACCCUGAAUUGUGACUUCUGCACACCUGGAUCACAGAGCGCCCACAAAUCCUCAAUACCUUCCAAUCAAAUAUCGGG
rnacentral:lncRNA from 1 species